AAUACAAUGACCAAUUCUUACACAAUGAUUGCAGACUUUAAGCCCUUCCAUCUCAUAAUGAACAGGGUUGUUCAUUGUGUGAAUUGCUGGGAGUUCAAAGCAUUUCAAAUUUGAAGCCAAAAUAGCCAAACUUAAAUCUGAUCCAACAUGGAAUCUAAAACAAGUCAGUCAGUGUGUAGCACAAUAAAAUUAAAGACAAAAUUGGUUGUAAGGAUAGUUCAGAGUAGACACAUGUUGUGAUGGUAUACAUUGUGUGGGGAGAUGGGUUAAUUUUAAAGAGGACAGUCAUUUAAAGCUACUCUAUCAAUUUGAAAAAAAAAAUUUUUAAAUUAAUUUUGUGUCCCUUCAUUUCUCCUUGUUUUAUUUUUUAAAUUCACUUUUUUUGUUCUAGAUAAAAAUUAAAAAAACAAAACAUAGGGACUACUUGUUACUAUGGUGAGCAUAAUCUUUAGCAAUGAUAGAGGGGGGAGGAGGAGCUUAAGUAAAGUUUAAUUUCAGUUGCAAAGAUAAUUUACCCACAAACCAUCAAUCAAAAGAAUGCGGACAAGGCAAACAUCAUGGACGGGGAGAACAAAAUGGAGACACCAAGGUAUUAAUGGCGCUUUAAAUUGGAAAUUCCUGUGAAAGAGGCACACAUUAGGUAUUUCGUGUUUAAGGAGGUGAGAACACUUACAGACAAAAAGUAUUUUCAAAAAGUAAAAAAAAAAAAAAAAAGCUAAAGCAGUUCAUUUUUACUGUGAAUAUUUUAAGUAGCAGGUGUGGCGCAACCCCUUCUAAUAAAGUGCCCCAUGGCAUCUAUCUGAUGCACCUAUUAACUAGCAAGGGGAACUGUGUCCCCCUCAAACUAUUUUAGACCAAACCAAGUGUUUGCUUGAGUAUCUGCCCCUGUCCAGAUUUCAAAGUAUAAAUGCGUGCACGCCAAGAGAAUUACACUGACAACAGAAUCCGUUAAAUGAAAGCUUCGAGGAAUGUUUACUUAGGGGGCAGCAAGCCCCUUAUAAAGGCAAAAAAAAUACAUCAUAUGCAAAAUAUGGGAGGACAUGAAAUGUACAUUUUAAUUGGUAUUUGUUUAAGUUUUUUAUCUUGAUGGACUUCCUACAGGGUGUGAGGUCAUCAUUCUGGGUGCAGCUCUGGAUGGAGACGCCAUCUUGUUACAUGAAAUUCUUUAGUCGAUGGGAGGGGGUGCUCUAGUGGCCAUUUUGAGUAGUGAAUGAACACUGGUUCAUAUAGUAAAUAGACAUUUUACUAACAUUAAUUUCCAUCCAUCACAGAACCAC